GGUUAACACUGGUGAUCGUUAUGCUAAGAAAGACACAGGAAAUGCUCUGGCAGAUUGUGAAGGGCUGCUGAGGGAGCUUUGGUGAAGUGCACUGAAUAUAAACAGGAAGGAUAUAUACAAAGCACAAAGGAAAGAUCAAGAGAAUGACAGAAGAUGAAAGGCCGUUACACUUCAUCAUUAUAACUGAGUAGCCCUUCUCAUUAUCAUCACUUUUCAUUUUUCUAAUGGAAGUAAUGAAAUGGUUACACUAUGGAGAAAUGCAGCAAGUAUUCUAUUAAGGAUCAAAUUAGCUAAUAUUUCCUUACAUCUCUAAAGCAUAGAACUCCCAAGACAUCUGAAUUAGAUCAAUAGAGUUUUAUUGAAUUGAAUCAACAGAUAACUGUACUCUUACUAUCAAAUUCUGAAUGACAGAGUGAUGGAUGCUUGCAGCUGUUAAUGCACAAUGAUU